rnacentral:lncRNA from 1 species
GUGUAGUGGGAGAAAUGCAGUUCACCCGCAAGUGCAGUUCUCCUGCUUUAAAGUUACCAUUUGUGGUUUUGUUUUUUUAUAAAGUACAUAGCAGGAGAUCUACACGCAGAUCAAUAUUUUUUAUCUUUUUGUGAGAAAAAGCAGGAGAUCUACAUGCAGAUUUCACCACCAUACAUUUGAUGCAGUUCAUCUGCUUUUAUAUUUUCUUAACCAAUCAAUGAUUUUUUUCAUAAAUAAUUAAAUUUAAAAUAUAUCUAAACUUCUUCUAUAAAUAUUAUAUUUUCAUUUUAGUUACUCACAAUUUUAAUAAUACAAAAACUAUCGUUAUCUAUUUAGAUUUUUCAUCAUAUCUAUUUUAAAUUAUCAUAUUUAUAUAAUAUAUGUGGUUUCAGUUAUAAUAUGCAUUA